rnacentral:rRNA from 1 species
CAGGCCUAACGCAUGCAAGUCGACGGAACGACACUACGAUCCUUCGGGUGCGUUAAUGGGCGUCGAGCGGCGACGGGUGAGUAAUGCCUAGGAAAUUGCCUUGAUGUGGGGGAUAACCAUUGGAAACGAUGGCUAAUGCCGCAUGAUGCCUACGGGCAAAGAGGGGAACCUUCGGGCCUCUCGCGUCAAGAUAUGCCUAGGUGGGAUUAGCUAGUUGGUGAGGUAAUGGCUCACCAAGGCGACGAUCCCUAGCUGGUCUGAGUAGGAUGAUCAGCCACACUGGAACUGAGGUACACGGUCCAGACUCCUACGGGAGGCAGCAGUGGGGAAUAUUGCACAAUGGGCGAAAGCCUGAUGCAGCCAUGCCGCGUGUAUGAAUGAAGGCCUUCGGGUUGUAAAGUACUUUCAGUUGUGAGUGAAGGGUGUGUUGUUAAUAGCUGCGCAUCUUGACGUUAGCAACAGAAGAAGCACCGGCUAACUCCGUGCCAGCAGCCGCGGUAAUAGCGGAGGGUGCGAGCGUUAAUCGGA